rnacentral:rRNA from 1 species
UGAACGUUGGCGGCGUGGAUUAGGCAUGCAAGUCGUACGCUUCAUGUAGCAAUACAUGAAGAGUGGCGUAAGGGAGAGUAAUGCAUGGUUAGCUACCCUCGGGACUGGGAUAGCGGCGGGAAACUGCCGGUAAUACCAGAUGAUGUCUUCGGACCAAACGUGUAAACCGGCCCGAGGAGGCGACCAUGUCCUAUCAGCUUGUUGGCGGGGUAACGGCCCACCAAGGCAAAGACGGGUAUGGGGCGUGAGAGCGUGCCCCCACUCACUGGGACUGAGACACUGCCCAGACACCUACGGGUGGCUGCAGUCGAGAAUCUUCGGCAAUGGGCGCAAGCCUGACCGAGCGACGCCGCGUGCGGGAUGAAGGCCUUCGGGUUGUAAACCGCUGUCGUAGGGGAGGAAGGCUCCGUGAAGAACGGAGUUUGACCGAUCCUAGGAGGAAGGGCCGGCUAAUCUCGU